GACGAACGCUGGCGGCGUGCCUAAUACAUGCAAGUCGAACGCUGAAGGAGGAGCUUGCUUCUCUGGAUGAGUUGCGAACGGGUGAGUAACGCGUAGGUAACCUGCCUGGUAGCGGGGGAUAACUAUUGGAAACGAUAGCUAAUACCGCAUAAGAGUAGAUGUUGCAUGACAUUUGCUUAAAAGGUGCAAUUGCAUCACUACCAGAUGGACCUGCGUUGUAUUAGCUAGUUGGUGGGGUAACGGCUUACCAAGGCGACGAUACAUAGCCGACCUGAGAGGGUGAUCGGCCACACUGGGACUGAGACACGGCCCAGACUCCUACGGGAGGCAGCAGUAGGGAAUCUUCGGCAAUGGACGGAAGUCUGACCGAGCAACGCCGCGUGAGUGAAGAAGGGUGUCGGAUCGUAAAGCUCUGUUGUAAGAGAAGAACGAGUGUGAGAGUGGAAAGUUCACACUGUGACGGUAGCUGACCAGAAAGGGACGGCUAACUACGUG
rnacentral:rRNA from 1 species